GUUUGCAUGUUCAACAGAAUUACGGACAAAAAUCUACAGCAGGAAUUCUAUGAAAACCUGGACAGACACAGUUCACGGUUCAUGGACCUUUUUACAACCAGAAGGGGGACUCCUGGUCAGCACUUGUUGAAGUUUUUACAGCAAAUAGAGUCAGACCAGCCAACUGAGGUCUGAACCCUUGUUCAUCCAGGACUGCCUAUCAUGCUCGGAGAUGAAGACUCUUCUUUCUUCAAGUCAUGUUUACUUUAUAAUGGGAGUGAAUGGGGGAUGAGAUUUUGAAGCUCAGAAAAGUCCAUCCAUCCAUCAUAAAACUACUCCACAUGGCUCCAGGGGGUUAAUAAAGGCAAUGUGAA
ensembl:lncRNA